rnacentral:rRNA from 1 species
GAUUGCGAAAUGGCCGAAAGGCUGACGCAGCGACGCCGCGUGAAGGAUGAAGUCCGUUAGGAUGUAAACUUCUUUUGUAGGGGAUGAAUACCCCGUUAGACGGGGGGUGACCGUACCCUGCGAAUAAGGAUCGGCCAACUACGUGCCAGCAGCCGCGGUAAUACGUAGGAUCCGAGCGUUGUCCGGAAUUACUGGGUGUAAAGGGCGUGUAGGUGGGCCUCUAAGUCGGCGGUGAAAUCUUGCAGCUCAACUGCAAAACUGCCAUCGAUACUGGAGGUCUUGAGUGCGGCAGAGGGAGAUGGAAUUCAUGGUGUAGCGGUGAAAUGUGUAGAUAUCAUGAAGAACACCAGUAGCGAAGGCGGUCUCCUGGUCCGUAACUGACACUGAGGCGCGAAAGCGUGGGGAGCAAACAGGAUUAGAUACCCUGGUAGUCCACGCCUUAAACGAUGGGUACUAGGUGCUGGACCGCAAGGUUCAGUGCCAAAGCUAACGCAUUAAGUACCCCACCUGGGGAGUACGAUCGCAAGGUUGAAACUCAAAAAAAUUGACGGA